AUCCUGGCUCAGGACGAACGCUGGCGGCGUGCCUAACACAUGCAAGUCGAACGGAACUGUUUUGAAAGAUUUCUUCGGAAUGAAUUUGAUUUAGUUUAGUGGCGGACGGGUGAGUAACGCGUGAGUAACCUGCCUUCAAGAGGGGGAUAACAUUCUGAAAAGAAUGCUAAUACCGCAUGACAUAUCGGAACCACAUGGUUUUGAUAUCAAAGAUUUUAUCGCUUGAAGAUGGACUCGCGUCCGAUUAGUUAGUUGGUGAGGUAACGGCUCACCAAGACCGCGAUCGGUAGCCGGACUGAGAGGUUGAACGGCCACAUUGGGACUGAGACACGGCCCAGACUCCUACGGGAGGCAGCAGUGGGGGAUAUUGCGCAAUGGGGGCAACCCUGACGCAGCAACGCCGCGUGAAGGAUGAAGGUUUUCGGAUUGUAAACUUCUUUUAUUAAGGACGAAAAUUGACGGUACUUAAUGAAUAAGCUCCGGCUAACUACGUGCCAGCAGCCGCGGUAAUACGUAGGGAGCAAGCGUUGUCCGGAUUUACUGGGUGUAAAGGGUGCGUAGGCGGCUUUGCAAGUCAGAUGUGAAAUCUAUGGGCUCAACCCAUAAACUGCAUUUGAAACUGUAGAGCUUGAGUGAAGUAGAGGCAGGCGGAAUUCCCCGUGUAGCGGUGAAAUGCGUAGAGAUGGGGAGGAACACCAGUGGCGAAGGCGGCCUGCUGGGCUUUAACUGACGCUGAGGCACGAAAGCGUGGGUAGCAAACAGGAUUAGAUACCCUGGUAGUCCACGCUGUAAACGAUGAUUACUAGGUGUGGGGGGACUGACCCCUUCCGUGCCGCAGUUAACACAAUAAGUAAUCCACCUGGGGAGUACGACCGCAAGGUUGAAACUCAAAGGAAUUGACGGGGGCCCGCACAAGCAGUGGAGUAUGUGGUUUAAUUCGAAGCAACGCGAAGAACCUUACCAGGUCUUGACAUCCAACUAACGAAGUAGAGAUACAUUAGGUGCCCUUCGGGGAAAGUUGAGACAGGUGGUGCAUGGUUGUCGUCAGCUCGUGUCGUGAGAUGUUGGGUUAAGUCCCGCAACGAGCGCAACCCUU
rnacentral:rRNA from 1 species